CUCUCUCUUCGAAACUCUCGCUUAACUCUCUCAACUGCCUCAGCUCAUUUAAAUUUGGGAUUUUUCAAAAAAUUAUGAAUUUGCUUGUACAUUGGAAAUUCUUGUUUUGAUAAUUGCUCCAAACAUUUGAAUUCGAACCCGUUUGAUCAUUUGCAUUCGAACCCGUUUGAUCGUUUGCAUUCAUGUAAAUGAUUUGAAUUGAAUCUCAUGACUGAAGAAAUUGAAUAAAUGUGACAGGCUUUGAUGUUAUUUUUGAAUAAAUGUCUUGGCUAUUUUAUUUUUUUAUUUUUUUAUUUUUAUUGGUAUUGUGAGUUGGAUUUCUCAUACUAGCUACAUUGUGCUGUUGGUUCUAUUUGAGUUUAUUUGUUAUGGAGAUAUCAUUUUGGGAGGUCUACCUUUCUUAUUGUAUUCAUUUUCCAUUUGUUUCAACUGAACAUCGAAUUAUUGAAGGAAAAAAAACUUUUUGUUGGGAAAGUUUCUUAAAAGGGUUAUCUCUGGAAACUUUAUGAUUGUUCGAUAAAGUUUGAAUAUUUUUUUAAUAGAAAAUGUUUUCUUGAUUGACAUAACAGUGGGAAAUUGUUUCUGCCUUGAGAAACUAUUUCCUAAUAAAAUGUUGAGUAAAACUUUUGAACAAUUGAAAAAUAUCUUGUUUCAAACAAACAUCAAUACCGUUUUUGAAUGUAAAGAAAAUGGUUUCUUCUGGUUAAAGAUAGUGAUUACAUGAAAGUUGUCUUCUCUCUCUCUCCCUUUCUUCCUCUCUCGGAGUGGGGGGUGGGGGAGAGGGUGGGAGGACUAAUAUGAACACAAAUCCUUCAAGUGCAGCCUUUUUUCUUCCUGUUGUGUGUGUGUAAGAAUCAAUGUUUUGAAAGACGAGGCGCUAGGGUGAGGCGUUUUAUGCCUUAUGAGGCGAGGCGUAAGCCUCAAAGCGUUGAAGCGUAAGCCUUUCGGGUAUUGAGUUAUUAUAAUUACAAAAAUAUAAAACAGCUACUGAAUGUAUUGAAUGCCACACUACAAUAUAAAUUAACCAUCAAACUUGUUAUUUUCAAAAUUUCUCUUACUAUUGCUCAAUUCUUUACCAUAUAUGCUUUUGGUUAUAUUAUCUCUCUAAGUCUAGUGCCUUUCUACCUAGUUCGAAUAGAUAAAAGAGUAGAUUAUGGAGGUGGACUGAACUGAUGGUGGAAGGUGGGAGGCAGUUUCUGUUGGUCUGUUUGGGAACUUUGGCUUUUGGGAGAGGGAAGGAAUAAAUGGGUAAACUGGUUUCUUUUGAACAAAACGGUGCGUGUCUAAUGUUCAAACUUAAAACUGAAACGCACAGCUUAACUAAAGGGAAACAAAACAACACAGCAAGUGCAAACGACGUCGUCCGGAAUCAGAUUUUUAAAAUAAAGGAACUCUGUCUUCCUCGCGAGGCUUGCGCCUUUCACAGCGCAUCUGCGUUUAGCGGCCGCCUCGACUUCAAGGCGUACGCCUUUCAUGACAUUUGCUAAACUGAGCUGCGCCUGAGGCGAAUCACCGCUGCCUUGCUCCGAAGCGCGCCUCAACGCGUGCCUAGGCAUGCCUUUGAAAACACUGAACUCGGUGUUCAAGUUUGCAUCUUCACAGUAUAGAAGAAUAUAUAAAGCAAAAUCAAUGGCAAGGCGUGCCAUCGGUGAACAGCUGAUCAUUCCAAAUGAAAACUUGUACAUUCAACAUGCUUCUGUUAAUGUUGUAUUGCCAUCCUUUGAGAGCCUAAUGCCGGUGGGAAGAGCAAGUGUUCUAAAACAGCUACAAAGAAAGGUGGAGUGGGCUUUGAGAGUCGUAAAGCUCUUAAUGACAUUACAAACAAGAUUUUACCCAAGGAAGCUUCAUCAAAGCAAAAGACACUACCUAAGGAAGAUUUUAAUGUAGCUGAAGAAGUUUUUGCAUGAUCACGAAAAAUGUAUCAAAGCAAAGGAGCCGCGAUGAAUAAGUUUUACUUGGACACGGUCCUUCCAGUACAAGGAUGAUCUUGAUAGUCCUCCUUGCUAUCCUGAAAUAGAAGAGAUUCCUGAACCAGAAGAGUUUACCUUUUUUCAGUGGCUCUCUCCUCCAUCUUCUCCACUACGUUGGGAGUCCCCGCCAUUCUCUCCUUUAGCAUUGCCACUUGAGGUGGUAGAAUUUGUGUUGAGGGAAGGAAAUGAUUGAAUAUGCCCCCAUAUGUUCAACCUUUCUUUCCGGAUGAAAUGUAAAUCAGAUUUAGUGUUGUUAUUCUUGAUGUCUCUUUCCACAUCAAAGAUUUUGUAUUCGUUCUCAACUGGAGCUGUUGGGUAAUGGGCGUUGGGUCUUGCUCAUUUAAGAAAGGGCCCUUUUGAACCUAUAUUCUUCACGUUCAAUUCCGUUCUUAAUUGAAUUGCUUCCAGCUAUUUUAAGAUACAACCUUGAUAUUAAAAGUCUAGCUGGGGAAUCAUAUUUCUAUUUUGUUUCGUUUUGAUUGUUUUCUUUCUUGGUCAAUUUUCGUUUUGAUUGUUAAACAUAUGUAUAUGUAUAUGUGGGACAUUUGUUCAAAAAUAUGACAUCAAUGGUAACAAGGCUCGUAAUAUGAGUUAGCUUGUGACA